ACCACCACCAUCAUCAUCAUCGCUCUGCUUGGAUGUAAAAAACCCAAAACAAGCUUCUUCCUCCAAGAUCUUCUUCAAACACUUUUACGCGGAGUUCCUGCGCUCAUGGAGCGGCCACCUCGCGCCUCCUCUCCGGAUGGGAUGCGUCAGCUGUGAUGCUGAUGGUGUGACAUAAAAGAAACUCAAAAAACAGCACAAAAACUAAUCCGCAGUUUUUCCAACGCAGGAGUUUCACAUGCUCCGCGUGUCCCAUUGGUUGGUCUGUUUAUGUGACGACACCCUGCGAUGAAGGAACAAGUCUAUUUUUAGAAACUGGAGGCUAAAGGUAUUAAAGUCCAGCAGAGAGGAGAGUCCACACAGACGGUCCUCCACAUGGAGCUACUCACACUGAGGAAAGGAGCUUUUUAAAAUGCUGAUCCAUGUUUGGAGGAAAAGGAAACCAGUGACUCAACAUGAGGCUCUGUGAGGAGUCUGCAGCCUGCAGCUGCUCCAGGAUCAGCCAGCGCCUCCAGCACCGGCCUGCAGAGUGAGACACACGAUACAGACAUUUAA